rnacentral:rRNA from 1 species
UACGAAGGGGGGCUAGCGUUGUUCGGAAUUACUGGGCGUAAAGCGUGCGCAGGCGGCUUCUCAAGUCAGGGGUGAAAGCCCAGAGCUCAACUCUGGAAUUGCCUUUGAGACUGAGUGGCUUGAGUACGAGAGAGGUGAGUGGAAUUCCCCAGUGUAGAGGUGAAAUUCGUAGAUAUUGGGAAGAACACCGGUGGCGAAGGCGGCUCACUGGCUCGUAACUGACGCUCAUGCACGACAGCGUGGGGAUCAAACAGG